GACGAACGCUGGCGGCGUGCUUAACACAUGCAAGUCGAACGGAAAGGCCUGCUUUCCCUUGUGGAUUGCGGGUACUCGAGUGGCGAACGGGUGAGUAACACGUGAGUGAUCUGCCCCCAACUUGGGUAUAAGCCUGGGAAACUGGGUCUAAUUCCCGAUAGGACUGCAGGGUGGUGCCUGUGGUGGAAAACGAUUUUCUAGUGGUUGGGGAUGAGCUCGCGGCCUAUCAGCUUGUUGGUGGGGUAAUGGCCUACCAAGGCGGCGACGGGUAGCCGGCCUGAGAGGGUGGACGGCCACAUUGGGACUGAGAUACGGCCCAGACUCCUACGGGAGGCAGCAGUGGGGAAUAUUGCACAAUAGGCGGAAGCCUGAUGCAGCGACGCCGCGUGGGGGAUGACGGCCUUCGAGUUGUAAACUCCUUUCGACCGCGAGGAAGCCACCUGGUUGGAAGGGUGGUGACGGUAGUGGUAGAAGAAGCACCGGCUAACUACGUG
rnacentral:rRNA from 1 species